rnacentral:tRNA from 1 species
CAGAGAGUAGUUUAUAGAGAAUAUCAGCUUUGGGGGCUGAUGGAGGGACUUUAGUCUCCUUUCUGA